rnacentral:lncRNA from 1 species
UGACGGACUUAAUCUCCAGGCUCACUGCGAUUUUAUUACAAAUUAAGUGUCUGGCAGAGGGAGGAGACCUGAAUUCCUUUGAAUUCAAAUCCCUGACAGAUUCAUUAAAUGACAUAAAGAACACAAUAGAUGCUUCUAAUAUCAGUUGUUUUCAGAAUAAUGUAGAAAUCCACGUUGCACAUAUCCAGAGUGGCCUGAGCCAGAUGGGGAACCUGCACGCCUUUGCAGCCAACAACACUAACAGGGACUGAGCACAGCAGUCCUGCUACCCAGCCGCACACGACCGUGGUCUGAGGAGUCCUUUUCAUUAAUCCAAGCUUCCAACACCAGAUAAGCUAUCUGCUGGGAAACAAGAGAACUGUACACCUCCAGAUACGGCUUUGUAGUACACCGUACUGCUUCUUAGCCAGCAGUGCUGACCAGCGUUUAUUCAUUGUUCUUUUAUCAUCAUCCAGGUGCAGUAGUGUCGCUUAUAUUUCAUGCUUAUCAGCAAGUAUGUUUAACCUGAACCUGUCUGAAUGCACUGUCUCAUGUGCUCACCAUAGUUUAUACAUGCAUGAAUUCUGCCCAGCACACGCAGAUGACUCCUGUGACAGAGAACAUGGAGAAGUAUGGUCUUUCCAUGCAUGAUGGUGGGAAUCUCAUCUGAGAAUCCCGAGUCCGUGGACUCAGUUGACCGUUCUAUCUCAGGCUUCAGAAUAGACGCGUGGGUGUGGGAAGGAAGUCCUAGUCUUACGGAAGCCACUGGGAUGCAGAUGGGAAGGAAGCACGGCCUUAUGUCUGUCACAGAUGCUGACCGUGUGACUCGCUUCUGUAGAUCAACUGUAAUAAUAAUAUUUAAUUUAUCAUAAUUUAUAAAAGCUUUGUUGUUCAUCAGCAGAAGACAAUGAAGGAGCAGGGGAGCUGUGCUGUGGAAUGCUGGGUUUCGGCAGUGGACUUGGCGUGCCUUCCCAUGAUUCAGGGCACAAAGCGCUAUCGCUAAGAUUUAUUUUAAAAAAAGACUGAUAACACACUAUUUUCGUAUUUUUUUGUUUAUUUGCACAACUUUAAACCAGAUUACUGGUUAAAACUCAACAGUACACAGUUUAUAAAGUAAAAAUAUUUUAUAAGGAAAGCAUAUGACCAGUGUGAAUUACAGAGAGGUUUGGUUUUAGUUGUUUUCUUGUUUGGUUUGGUUUUUUCUUUUUAAGAAAAACCCUGUCUACAAUAAUCUUGUAAAAAGUAUGUAUUUUAAAAUGUUUGUUUUAAUAUAGAGUAUUAUAAAGCCAAAAUAUAAUUGCUUUCAGAUUUGGAGUUUAAAAUAGAGCUAUAGAGGUGGUUCUGAUUGUUUGACAUCUCAUAAAAUGAGACUUUUGUAUAUUAAUGUAUAAUAAAACUGAAAUAAGAUUAUUUUCCUUGAAAUUUUUGUAUAGUUUAAAAAUGCUUCUGUGUUCUUUGUUGGUAUUGGGCCACUGCAGAUCUUAGUGCAGAGUUUAUAUUUAGCUAAACUGUUACGUUAAUUAAGAAAUGCAUAAAUCUUUUAUUCUUAAUAUUUGUAAUUCUAAAUAAAUCAAUCUAUGAAAUUUAA